CGGGGUGUAGCGCAGUCUGGUAGCGCACCUGCUUUGGGAGCAGGGGGUCGGGAGUUCGAAUCUCCCCACCCCGACCA
rnacentral:tRNA from 1 species